GCCUCGUGGUGUAGUGGUCAGCACGCUCGACGCGUAACCGAGAGGUCCGUGGUUCGAUUCCCGACGAAGGCA
rnacentral:tRNA from 1 species